rnacentral:rRNA from 1 species
CCUACGGGAGGCAGCAGUGAGGAAUAUUGGACAAUGGAGGCAACUCUGAUCCAGCCAUGCCGCGUGCAGGAAGACGGCCCUACGGGUUGUAAACUGCUUUUAUACAGGAAGAAUUGUACCUACGUGUAGGUACUUGACGGUACUGUAAGAAUAAGGAUCGGCUAACUCCGUGCCAGCAGCCGCGGUAAUACGGAGGAUCCAAGCGUUAUCCGGAAUUAUUGGGUUUAAAGGGUCCGUAGGCGGUUUUUUAAGUCAGAGGUGAAAUCCUGCAGCUCAACUGUAGCAUUGCCUUUGAUACUGAAAGACUUGAGUUAUUGUGAAGUAGUUAGAAUGCGUAGUGUAGCGGUGAAAUGCAUAGAUAUUACACAGAAUACCGAUUGCGAAAGCAGAUUGCUAACAAUAUACUGACGCUGAGGGACGAAAGCGUGGGUAGCGAACAGGAUUAGAUACCCUGGUAGUCCACGCCGUAAACGAUGGAUACUAGCUGUUCGAUCAACAUUGGUUGAUUGAGUGGUUAAGCGAAAGUGAUAAGUAUCCCACCUGGGGAGUACGCUCGCAAGAGUGAAACUCAAAGGAAUUGACGG